CGUGUUCACCUCUGACAUGUUCAGCACACUCCUUUAUCUGUCGCUUCUUUUACACUCAGGUCUCACUGUGGUAGUUCUUCAGUCUGGAGAUCAAAUGUCCCACCCAGGAUUGACAGUGAACUUUGAGUGCAGCAUGGGUCCAGGGUUCAGCAUGGGCAGCUACACCAUGCUCUGGUAUCGACAAAACCACUACGGAGAACUGCUGGAGUUCCUCACCAAAGAGUACGACCAAACUGAGGGGCGCUUCCAGCCGUCUCUGGAAACAUCCAAGAACAACUUCUCUCUUCAGAUUACUGGGCUGCUCCUGAAUGACAGCAGCACUUACUACUGUGCUGCCAGAGGGUAUGAAGCCUACUUCGGCCAGGGAACUAAACUGACUGUUCUGGACCCAAGCCAUGAAAUCACCGAACCAACAGUGACAGUGCUUCCACCUUCAGAAAAUGAGUGUCAAAAGCAGAAAGACGAUUCGAGGAAGAAGACCAUUGUUUGUGUGGCCAGUGGAUUCUACCCAGACCAUGUCACUGUUGAAUGGAAGGUCAACGGGGAUAAGGUCACCAACGGUGUGGCGACUGAUAACGAUGCCCUGCAGGUAGAAGACAAGUCUUACAGAAUCACCAGCAGGCUGAGUGUCUCUGUAGAAGACUGGUUCACACCCGGCAAAAGUUUCACCUGCAUCGUCAAAUUCUUCAAUGGAAAGGAAACAAUCAGUCAUGAAGUUACAGUUCCGGGUGUUGAAGGUGAAGGUGAAAACGUCAUGACAAGAGAGUAUUAUCUGAAGAUCUCACAGACGGCCAAACUCUCCUACGCUCUUCUAAUCAUCAAGAGCAGCCUCUAUGGAGCCUUUGUGGCCUUUCUGGUGUGGAAGCUUCAGAGUUCAGCCGGAAAACGGAACAACUGAGAGCUGAGGUCUGAACCAACCUUAGUUUCUGUAAAUAACAUUUGUAGAACAUAUUAUAUGGUUAUAUUUCCACAACUGUGUACGUCACAACAUAUUUGCAUUCAUAUAUAAAUAAGCCAACCAAAUUCUUCUACCAAUAGACGAGCAUAUUCUCAUUACUUUCUAAAGCCAAAACUGGCACGGAAGUAAGUUUGGUGUAGAUUUUAUAAUCUUUUGUAUGUUUGUGGUUGUGAACUAUUUGAUGCUUCAUUUUCUACUCAAUAAAAGUAUGUCAGAGGAUUUUGUCAA